CCUGAGCGAACCAGUGGCUACCCACCAAUUCCCAAGCUGAGUUCCUGAUCUGGAUCCUCACCCUGUCCCCUCUCCUGUCUGACCCCGACCCCACCCUGACUGACUCUAAUCCCUCACCCGGACUGGGGCCGGACAUGCCCUAGCUGAUCCCCCAGACCAUGAACCUUCACCCUGAGCAGCCCAGACUGACCGUGAGUUCUGUACCUAAUCCAAACCCAAACGGAGACUGACCAAACCAAGACCAUGACAUGGAUUUUAAAUCGGCUGUCGGUAUUCAAGCAAACUCCUACUGUCAAGAGUGAAAAUCUCUGGAUUUGGCACUAUACAGUGUCCAUGUGAAGGCCUUGCAGAGCUCGAUGACAGAUUGGAGCCUGUAGCUCUGAAGGAAGAAUUUACUGUGAACUUCAUAUAGUUCCUGUAAACUAUGAACAUUGGACUGAUGCACUGCUGAUGUUACCAUUUUACCUUGCUAAACAUUAUUAAACUAAAAAA